rnacentral:rRNA from 1 species
UACAGAGGGUGCGAGCGUUAAUCGGAAUUACUGGGCGUAAAGCGUGCGUAGACGGUUAUCUAAGUCGGAUGUGAAAGCCCCGGGCUCAACCUGGGAAUUGCAUUCGAGACUGAAUAGCUAGGGUACGGUAGAGGGAAGUGGAAUUUCCGGUGUAGCGGUGAAAUGCGUAGAUAUCGGAAGGACAAUCAGGGGCGAAGCGACUUCCUGGACCAGUACCGACGUUCAGGCACGAAAGCGUGGGGAGCAAACAGG